CCAGCUCUUCUCUGCUUUGGUGGCUUGUGCUUCUGGUCUUCACCAGCCAUGACUUCAAUGUGUGGCAGCUUGCAAUGUGUGCAUUUGGUAUUUGGACUGUCCCCUCUGACCUCUGGCUUAACCUUGAUGAUCUGUGCACCUGGACUGUCCCUAGAGCAUGGCCUCAUCCGACCAAGCCUGUCUCCACUAUAACUCUGUCUCCAGUUGGCAUGAGGAUGUGUCUGAAGAGGGCUGAGUAGACUCCAGAGAAUCUGAAAAAGACUUUGAGUCAAAAAGCAGAAAGAAGCUUAGCAAAUGCAUGAAAUAGGUGCCGUCAGCAUGAGUCUCAUGAACCGGACUCCACAGCUGCAGCUGAGUGUGUAGGUGGCCUGAGGGAUGCGGUGCCGGCCACUGACACCAACAACUCUGUUACACUUAUUCUAGCUCAAGUUCUUUUUCCUCCUUCUUCACCAUGACCUUGUGAGUUAGGAGAUCAGUUUUCAACUUUCUAGCUGGAAAGGUUGAGGCUGUGAAUUGUCAAUGACUUGCCAGAAGGCACACAGUAAACAGUGCCCUUGGGACCUCUGUUUAGAGGAAGAGCUUCACAUUUAGCUUGCUUUCUAUUGUGACUCACUCUGUUCAACUAAGUUAUGAACAAGCCUCGAUGCACAAGGAUGAAAGAAAUCAGAUUUGAGAAAGCCCAGUCUUCACCCAUGGACAGCUGAGAAAGGCAUGAGACAGGAAUAUUAUAAUUCAUCUAUAAGAAAGUGCUCAUCUAAAGAAGAAAAUGCUAGCCAGACUUCCUCUGAGACACAGCCAGUAACAUAUCUGCUACAAAUAGUUUCUACAACCCUCCUUGAAGGCUUCCAACAACCACACAGAUGUCUCUAUGCACAGCAUUAGCUGUGGAAAGAAAAACUGUGUUAAAGAAGACAUUUUCCAGUUACAGGGAAAGACAGAACCACUAUCUUAGAGUGAAAGUAAUACACGGUGAGUCCCAUUGGGAUAGCCUUGGUGACCCCUCAAGGCAAGGGAUUCAGACCUACUGGUAUCAUGUCAUGUCUGCCAAAGGGAUGGCUACCAGUGAGCUGUAAUAUGAAUGGAACUAGAAGAAAAUGGAACAAAGAAACAAGAUGGUCGGAAUUAUUCCCCAGAAUGAAUAAAAGUACCCCUCAAGAUCGCCUAUCCCUACAUUCAUUGAACAGCUUUUUAAUACCUGAUUCAGUCUUUCCUGCAUGUUAACACCAUGAAAGAAGUGGAGAAGAUACUUGAUAAAAAGCAGAAGUAACUUUUACACCCUAAAGGUAGAGGCAACUCUGAAAAUUGAUUCAAUGUUCUCUGGUUUAUACAUCUAUUGUUUAUGAGUUUAAUUACUAUGAAUUGGUUCCAUGAGUUUGAUCAUCAGAACAAGAACCAAUCAAGUCAAUUUCA
rnacentral:lncRNA from 10 species